rnacentral:rRNA from 1 species
UAAUACAGAGGUCCCAAGCGUUGUUCGGAUUCACUGGGCGUAAAGGGUGCGUAGGCGGUUUAGAAAGUCUGAUGUGAAAUCCCGCAGCUUAACUGCGGAACUGCAUUGGAAACUGCUUGACUAGAGGAAUGGAUGGGAGACUGGAAUACUUGGUGUAGCAGUGAAAUGCGUAGAUAUCAAGUGGAACACCAGUGGCGAAGGCGAGUCUCUGGACAUUUCCUGACGCUGAGGCACGAAAGCCAGGGGAGCAAACGGG